rnacentral:rRNA from 1 species
UACAGAGGUCUCAAGCGUUGUUCGGAUUCAUUGGGCGUAAAGGGUGCGUAGGUGGGUAAGUAAGUCAGUGGUGAAAUCUUCGAGCUUAACUCGGAAACUGCCAUUGAUACUAUUUAUCUUGAAUACUUUGGAGGUAAGCGGAAUAUGUCAUGUAGCGGUGAAAUGCUUAGAUAUGACAUAGAACACCAAUUGCGAAGGCAGCUUACUACACAGUUAUUGACACUGAGGCACGAAAGCGUGGGGAUCAAACAGG